CCUACGGACGGCUGCAGUGGGGAAUAUUGGACAAUGGGGGGAACCCUGAUCCAGCCAUGCCGCGUGUGUGAAGAAGGCCCUCGGGUUGUAAAGCACUUUCAGUGAGGAAGAACGCCUGGUGGUUAAUACCCAUCAGGAAAGACAUCACUCACAGAAGAAGCACCGGCUAACUCCGUGCCAGCAGCCGCGGUAAUACGGAGGGUGCGAGCGUUAAUCGGAAUUACUGGGCGUAAAGCGCGCGUAGGUGGCUUGAUAAGCCGGUUGUGAAAGCCCCGGGCUCAACCUGGGAACGGCAUCCGGAACUGUCAAGCUAGAGUGCAGGAGAGGAAGGUAGAAUUCCCGGUGUAGCGGUGAAAUGCGUAGAGAUCGGGAGGAAUACCAGUGGCGAAGGCGGCCUUCUGGACUGACACUGACACUGAGGUGCGAAAGCGUGGGUAGCAAACAGGAUUAGAUACCCCUGUAGUC
rnacentral:rRNA from 1 species